GAUGAACGCUGGCGGCGUGCCUAAUACAUGCAAGUCGAGCGAACAGACGAGGAGCUUGCUCCUCUGACGUUAGCGGCGGACGGGUGAGUAACACGUGGAUAACCUACCUAUAAGACUGGGAUAACUUCGGGAAACCGGAGCUAAUACCGGAUAAUAUAUUGAACCGCAUGGUUCAAUAGUGAAGGACGGUUUUGCUGUCACUUAUAGAUGGAUCCGCGCCGCAUUAGCUAGUUGGUAAGGUAACGGCUUACCAAGGCAACGAUGCGUAGCCGACCUGAGAGGGGGAUCGGCCACAGUGAAACUGAGACACGGGCCAGACUCCUACGGGGGGCAGCAGUAGGGAAUCUUCCGCAAGGGGCGAAGGCCUGACGGAGCAACGCCGCGUGGGUGAUGAAGGUCUUCGGAUCGGAAAACUCUGUUAUUAGGGAAGAAAAAAUGUGUAAGUAACUAUGCACGUCUUGACGGUACCAAAUCAGAAAGCCACGGCUAACUACG
rnacentral:rRNA from 1 species